rnacentral:lncRNA from 1 species
CUACGGAGGUGGAAGCUGUGUGUGAGCUGCGCCCCGCAGCCCGCUCUCCCGCUCCAUUCUUCCCGCAGCCCCCCCUGCUCCAACCAGGUGACUGGGGGCUCAGCGGACCCGCCCUGCCGCCCGGAAUGGAGCGGGUCCCCAUGGAGCCCAAACUCCCUGCUCCACCUCUCUUCCCGCUGCCGCCGCCAAGCCGCUCCGAGCCCGAGGGAGAUGGCAACCCCCAUCCUUGUGCACGCCGUUGGACAGACUCCGCGCCGGAGCCCCGUCUGCCCUGGGCUGCCAGAGGUCUCCACAUCCUCCUCCUCCCUACUCUACCUGAGCUUCUUCCUCAUCUGCGGGACCCUGUGCCAAGGAACCUACCCAAAUCCAGGCCUGCUCCCUGAAACAUUGGCAAGAAACUGGAAAAAGAGGCUAAUAUGGAGAGGGAAGAAGUUUGGCAAGAUCUUUGGAGAGAAAAAGGACAGAGCUGAGCAAAUCUGCCCGCCAAAAUAUCACCCCUUUUCCAUGCUCCAUUCACAACCACCAGCCCAUUUUUCCACAUGACAAUCCUCUGCAGUCCAGAAGCUUGAAAAUUACAAGCCCAAGAUUCAAGACACAUGUUUCUUGUCCAGAGUCCUGCCUGUCUAGAAACAAAGAUAAAUCAGACCUCAGAGAAUCCGUCAAGCACUAUAUCCACUGGGCCCCCUAACCAGACUAGAAGUGCCCCAGUACAUUCUGAAGGGACACCUAUCACCUAUGUCCCCUGUGUGAGGUGAGGUGAUUUUGGAUGGAGUGACAACGACCCAGUGUCAGCAACCCUUCAUCUCUGGGCGUGUCUAUGGGGUUCUGCCAAACUUACCUCCACUGCAUCUCAGACUGAAGGUUCAGGGAGCUGCAGAUGGGCUCUGCCUGUGCUCUGGCACCGUCUGGUGUCCAUGCGCUCUAACAUUAACUCUCAGCUCUUCCGCCAGUUCCCUCAGUAGCCCUCUGGGCUGCACUGGCCUUGGACACCUGCCAGCUUGAUUUUCUUCCUCCUCUCCCUCUCAGUGCACUGAAGUGCCCUAUAGACCAGGGUAUUUCUCAAAGUCUCCUAGAGCGCUCACCACAACCCAAUACAGUAAAACUUGUUGCCUCCCCACCGUUGGGUCCUGAGAGCCCUCUUAUAUCAAUCCCCCUGCCUCAGUUCAUGAUACUGCCUUUAGGUCUGCUUCCUGCAAUAGAGGUAAGAUACAUGGGAAAAAAAGGCUCAAUGGACAGAAAAGAAGGAAGUUUAUGGAGAUGUCUUGAGAGAAAAUUCACAGUGAUUUGCAUAGCUGCCAACCAAAAUAUUACAACUUUUACAUGCUACAUUUAUGAAUAACAUCCCUUAUUUGUACAUGAUACACUCACAGAGGCCUUAGGCUUGAAACUACAAGCCCAAGAUUCAAGACAGAUGUUUCUGGGUCCUGAGUUGUGCCUCUCCUGAAACAAGGGAAGUCUGGCCCCAGAGAACCUAUCAAACUCUCUGGCCCUUGGGCCACAUGACCAGGCUGGAAAUACCCAUCAGAUUUUGAAGCCACAGGCAUGUCCCCACACUGAGGUGAGAAAAUUCUGGGCCAGAGAGUCAGAGGCACCCUGUAACCAAACCCUACAACUCUGGGCACAUCCUGAGUGUUCCACCAACUCAUCUUCAACCACAUCUCUAAGCUGGAGGUGUGUCCAGGAAGCUGCAGGUAUACGUUUCUGCUGCUCUGGCACCAUCUGGCGGCCAUCAGCUCUAACAUCAACUCUCAGCCCUUCAUUCUGUUUUCCCUCAGCUGUUCCCUGGGGCUGUUCUGGCUUUAGAUCUCUGCCAGCUUGAUGUUCUUUCUCUCAUCCUCUAAGCUUAAUGAAGUGCCCUACAGACUGGGCCGUUUCUCUUUCAAAGUCUACCAGAGCACUCAUGCCAACCUACCCUAUCAAUACAUUAAAACCCUCUGCUUCC